rnacentral:lncRNA from 1 species
AAAACUUUAAUGAGUCAACACCCUGGCUGGGAUGGGCUUUCAGUCAUCCAGGUGCUUUUGGCUAGUCCAUGUUUCUGCACACAGCUCCUUUUCCCAUUUCCUGUCUUAGCAAAACAUGGAGAUUUUAACUUUCUUGAAUGAAUUAUUUCAAAAUACUUCUUCUCCAGUAUUAGGAGAAAAUGGUACAGUUGUAGAACAGGUGCAGUUGGAAAGGUGGCCAUGAUGUUAAGGUACAGGUGAUGUGAUGCCCUCAUCUGACAUCUCUGUGGGCACUGCAUACAUAUGCCUCACAUCUAUCUAUACAGUCAAAACAAGUUGACAGGUAAAAUAAAGGGUACAAAGUACAGUUAUACCUCAAGGUCUUCUCACAGCUGCACGGGAGAGGAAGAGCUACACUGUCCUAACAGGCUGGAUUGUCCACUCUGCCAUGCAUAGGUACAGGACACAUGGCUUGAUGUAAGGAAGAGGAAGCAGGUACAGCUGCUAUCUCACAGGAAAAAACACUGGGAUGGAUGACACCCCACCCCAGGAACUGUAUAAUGUUCAGAUACAAGUGUACCACAAAGAUUUAAUGAAUUACCUGGUCUUGCUUCUAUAACUGUACUUGCUGGCCAUAUUUUCACCCCACGGUUUUGUCCUACUAAGAGAUCCUGAGAAAGAAUCAGAGAAGUCCUUAUGAAACCUGUCAUAGAGAAAUACAGCCAUCCAUUCAGCUCUGUCAUGUACAUGAAGAAAGCUUGCUUCAAUUUGACCAUGAUUUGGAAAAGUGGUCUUUCUCCUUGCAUCUGCAGGACUCAGAGUGUCCUCAUGUGGUAAGAGCCACAUGUUGCUUUAAGGUCAGGAGGUUAAGUCAAAUGGAAGGAGAAACAUGGGGAGAAGACAGAAGAAAGGUAAAUUUGCUUUAUAUCAAACUGAUAUGAAGCCGCACUGACUCAAGAAUGCAAGUCCUUUGUUGGUCCUGUGGUUUUUUUGUGUGUGUGUUUGUGUGUGUGUGUGUGUGUGUGUGUGUGUGUGUGUGUGUGUGUGUGUGUGUGGUCUAUUUCCUCUACACUGACACACUCUAUCAAGGAAGAAAGAAUCUAAAGAAUUUUCAAAACCUAGGAAUCAAAUGAUACUGAAAAUCCUCAG